ACUUUCAAUUGCCAACAACAACGGCAAUCUCGCUCUCGCCGCGUAAGCGCCGAUAGCGACGGACCCCGCGGUGCCCCGCCUUGAGCGCCGCGUACGGUCUGCAACCCGACCAAGGCUUACCCCCCGCCACGCCCGCGGGACGGGGGGGACACCAAGCGGGAUACGGAGGCGAAAGCGCGGCGGCCCGCCGCCCGCCCCCCGACAACUUGAAUGGCCGCCUAAACCUGUAGAAGCCUACCUUCCGCGUUGCAGGACGCGGGUUCGACUCCCGCCACCUCCAAAA
rnacentral:tmRNA from 1 species